rnacentral:rRNA from 1 species
UGGGGAAUAUUGGACAAUGGGCGAAAGCCUGAUCCAGCAAUUCCGCGUGUGUGAAGAAGGCCUUCGGGUUGUAAAGCACUUUAGUGGGGGAAGAAACAGCUUGGCCACACCAAGCCUUGACGGUACCCCAAGAAUAAGCACCGGCUAACUCUGUGCCAGCAGCCGCGGUAAUACAGAGGGUGCAAGCGUUAAUCGGCUUUACUGGGCGUAAAGGGUGCGUAGGUGGUUUUUUAAGUCGGAUGUGAAAGCCUGGGGCUCAACCUCAGAAUUGCAUUCGAUACUGGGAAACUAGAGUUCGGUAGAGGGCGGCGGAAUUUCCGGUGUAGCGGUGAAAUGCGUAGAUAUCGGAAGGAACAUCAAUGGCGAAGGCAGCCGCCUGGGCCUGGACUGACACUGAGGCACGAAAGCGUGGGUAGCAAACA